AUUUUUCAGGUAUCGCGGGCGAUAAGUAGUGGGACGAGACGUGAGGUACGUGUGUAGCGGUCGAUAGAGCUUUCGACCCAGGUUAUUUCGGUAUAGUUAUUACCCUUAUUAUUUCAGUUGUUAUAGCUUAGAUAGUUAUAUGGUUCAGUAUUUUUAUUACAUUUGAAAAUAUGGAUUUUCGUGAAUGUAAUAAACGGAUUUCUGGAUUUUGUAAAAUAAAAGGUUUUCUAUCCCUCGUGGUAGCAUUUUUAAAGAAUAAAGAUUUCUGUAUAGGAAACAGUUUUCAAAAGGUUUUCUAUGGAUUUUGCAUCUUAGUAUUUCAAAACCUGUUUCUGUGGUUGGAAAUAUUUUAACUAAUAGAUGUGAAUUUAUGUUUAAAUUAAUAUUGAAUAUAUAAAUGUGAACCUGUGAUGUGAAUUGUGCAUGAAUAUAUAAUCGUUGGUUAUUUGUAUGUUCAUUUGGUUGUGGUUGUACCUGGGUUACUUUUUGUACUUGUGUGACGCCGUGCAAAUACAGGGGAGACUCUGUCCGUGUGAAUAGUGGAUUCCCUGUGUUUGUGGCGGAUCUGGCAUACUCUGGGGUCAGGCUUUUC
rnacentral:lncRNA from 1 species